GCCUGGGUGGCGGAACAGGUAGACGCAAGGGACUUAAAAUCCCUUGGGGCAUAGUCCCCGUACGAGUUCGAUUCUCGUCCCAGGCACCA
rnacentral:tRNA from 2 species